CCUACGGGAGGCAGCAGUGGGGGAUAUUGCACAAUGGGGGAAACCCUGAUGCAGCGACGCCGCGUGAGUGAAGAAGUAUUUCGGUAUGUAAAGCUCUAUCAGCAGGGAAGAAAAUGACAGUACCUGACCAAGAAGCCCCGGCUAACUACGUGCCAGCAGCCGCGGUAAUACGUAGGGGGCAAGCGUUAUCCGGAUUUACUGGGUGUAAAGGGAGCGUAGACGGUUAUGUAAGUCUGGAGUGAAAGCCCGGGGCCCAACCCCGGGACUGCUUUGGAAACUGUGUAACUGGAGUACAGGAGGGGCAG
rnacentral:rRNA from 1 species